GUUCCGAUAGCUCAAGUGGUAGAGUAGCCGCGUAUGAAGCCGAAGGUCGUGGGUUCGAAUCCCGCUCGGAACA